rnacentral:rRNA from 1 species
UCUAAAACUCAAAGGAAUUGACGGGGGCCCGCACAAGCGGUGGAGCAUGUGGUUUAAUUCGACGCAACGCGCAGAACCUUACCAGCCCUUGACAUGUCCAGGACCGGUCGCAGAGAUGUGACCCUCUCUUCGGAGCCUGGAGCACAGGUGCUGCAUGGCCGUCGUCAGCUCGUGUCGUGAGAUGUUGGGUUAAGUCCCGCAACGAGCGCAACCCCCGUCCUUAGUUGCUACCAUUUAGUUGAGCACUCUAAGGAGACUGCCGGUGAUAAGCCGCGAGGAAGGUGGGGAUGACGUCAAGUCCCCAUGGCCCUUACGGGCUGGGCUACACACGUGCUACAAUGGCGGUGACAAUGGGAAGCAAAGGGGCAACCCCUAGCAAAUCUCAAAAAA